UCUGAUCUCAUUUCUGACCAUGUCCCAAAUUUCACCCUAUUCCCUAUAUAGGGCAUACAAUGAUGCCGGUUGUGUGAAGGGCAUGUUCUCAUGUCUCUAAUUACUGACUCUGUACCUGAGAACCUGAUUUGAUAACAGCUGCAGGGCCCAUGAUGCCUGUGUAAAAUAAAUUUGGAUCAGCCAAUGUGUUUGGAUGGCAUGUUCACAUGUGUCUUUGACCCUAAACUUGUGGCUUGUCUCACCAAUCUGUCCACCCCACAGGGAGAUGUGGAGACCGUGAAGGAGCUCCUAGGCCAGGGGGCUGACCCCAACCUGAAAGACGACGCUGGAUGGACCCCACUGACUGUUAUGGUUCAGUGAGAAACAUGACUGGCGAAGGAGUCACUCAGAGCUGGUUUGAACCGACAUGUCAACGACCCCCCCCCCCCCCCCUCUCAGUUUGGCAUGGAAUAUACAGAAGGACACCAAAUUCACAACGAGCAACAAUGUGUUUGUAGGCGUAAUUAAAAAGUUGAGGAAAGAAGGGCGCGACAAAACUGCCCAUCAAGCAGCCAUAACUGAAGUUUGAACACGACAUGCAGCUCAUCAAACAAUCCAAGGCUCUGGACACUGAAACAUCUGAGGGUUUGGUGAACAAAGUGUGGUUUGAUGUUAAUUUUGGGCGAAGGGGAAGGAGGGAGAACGUUUUUCUUAAAAUUGACUGAUAUAAAAUAUGUACAGACACAGUUUUUACAUGAAUGUAAUGUACGUUUGCUAUCUAGCCUGUGGUUAUGUUUCACAGCAACCAGUCUAGCAACAACUUUUGUCCGGACUACUUUUUCUGGCGGAAUGCAUUUUUGAAUUUAUUUAUUAAAGCUAAAUGUUCAGUUUA